rnacentral:misc_RNA from 1 species
UCCAGCUUAUCGCUGGCGGUCUGUCCAGAGUGCUUCCUUCUCUCGAAGGAGUGGCAACAGGACACAAGGGUUGCGCUCGUUGCGGGACUUAACCCAACAUCUCACGACACGAGCUGACGACAGCCAUGCAGCACCUGUGCAAGCUUCCCUUGCGGGAUCGUCCCACUUUCAUGGUUCUACUACUUGCAUGUCAAGGCCAGGUAAGGUUCUUCGCGUUGCAUCGAAUUAAGCCACAUACUCCACCGCUUGUGCAGGCCCCCGUCAAUUUCUUUGAGUUUUAAUCUUGCGACCGUACUUCCCAGGCGGCGCAUUUAUCGCGUUAGCUUCGCCACAAACUGGGUCGAUUCCGUUUACAGCAAAUGCGCACCGUUUACAGCCAAGACUAC